GAACGAACGCUGGCGGCGUGCCUAACACAUGCAAGUCGAACGUGAUUGGGGAGCUUGCUCCUCAUGAAAGUGGCGCACGGGUGAGUAACGCGUAGAUAAUCUACCUGAUGAUUUGGGAUAACACUUCGAAAGGGGUGCUAAUACCGAAUAAGCCCACGGAGUCCUUGGACACUGCGGGAAAAGGAGGGGACCUUCGGGCCUUCCGUCAUCAGAUGAGUCUGCGUACCAUUAGCUAGUUGGUAGGGUAAAGGCCUACCAAGGCGACGAUGGUUAGCUGGUCUGAGAGGAUGAUCAGCCACACUGGAACUGAGACACGGUCCAGACUCCUACGGGAGGCAGCAGUGGGGAAUUUUGCGCAAUGGGGGAAACCCUGACGCAGCAACGCCGCGUGAGUGAUGAAGGCCCUUGGGUCGUAAAGCUCUGACAGAGGGAAAGAAAUGUGGGUGGCUAAUAUCCAUUCCACUUGACGGUACCCUCAAAGGAAGCACCGGCUAACUCCGUGCCAGCAGCCGCGGUAAUACGGAGGGUGCGAGCGUUGUUCGGAUUUAUUGGGCGUAAAGCGCGUGUAGGCGGUUUUAUAAGUCUGAUGUGAAAGCCCUGGGCUCAACCUGGGAAGUGCAUUGGAUACUGUAAGACUUGAAUACGGGAAAGGGUAGUGGAAUUCCUGGUGUAGGAGUGAAAUCCGUAGAUAUCAGGAGGAACACCGGUGGCGAAGGCGGCUGCCUGGACCGAUAUUGACGCUGAGACGCGAAAGCGUGGGUAGCAAACAGGAUUAGAUACCCUGGUAGUCCACGCCGUAAACGAUGAGUACUAGGUGUUGCGGGUAUUGACCCCUGCAGUGCCGCAGCUAACGCAUUAAGUACUCCGCCUGGGAAGUACGGUC
rnacentral:rRNA from 1 species